rnacentral:rRNA from 1 species
GAUGAACGCUAGCUACAGGCUUAACACAUGCAAGUCGAGGGGCAGCACAGUGUAGCAAUACACGGGUGGCGACCGGCGCACGGGUGCGUAACGCGUAUCCAAUCUUCCCGUUACUCUUGGAUAGCCUUCCGAAAGGGAGAUUAAUACAAGAUGGUAUUCAAAUUCCGCAUGUUAUUUGAGUUAAAGAUUUAUCGGUAACGGAUGGGGAUGCGUGACAUUAGGUAGAUGGCGGGGUAACGGCCCACCAUGCCUACGAUGUCUAGGGGUUCUGAGAGGAAGGUCCCCCACACUGGAACUGAGACACGGUCCAGACUCCUACGGGAGGCAGCAGUGAGGAAUAUUGGUCAAUGGCCGGAAGGCUGAACCAGCCAAGUAGCGUGAAGGAUGAAGGUUCUAUGGAUUGUAAACUUCUUUUAUAUAGGAAUAAAGCCCACUACGUGUAGUGGUUUGUAUGUACUAUAUGAAUAAGCAUCGGCUAACUCCGUGCCAGCCGCCGCCGUAAUAC